AUUGAACGCUGGCGGCAUGCCUUACACAUGCAAGUCGAACGGCAGCGGGGGAGAAGCUUGCUUUUCCUGCCGGCGAGUGGCGAACGGGUGAGUAAUACAUCGGAACGUGCCCUGUAGUGGGGGAUAACUAGUCGAAAGAUUAGCUAAUACCGCAUACGACCUGAGGGUGAAAGUGGGGGACCGCAAGGCCUCAUGCUAUAGGAGCGGCCGAUGUCUGAUUAGCUAGUUGGUGGGGUAAAGGCCUACCAAGGCGGCGAGCAGUAGCUGGUCUGAGAGGACGGUCAGCCACACUGGGACUCAGACAGGGCCCAGAGUCCGACGGUAGGCAGAGGUGGGGAAUUUUAGACAAUGUGCGAAAGCCUGAUCCAGCAAUGCCGCGUGUGUGAAGAAGGCCUUCGGGUUGUGAAGCACUUUUGUCCGGAAAGAAAUGGCUCUGGUUAAUACCUGGGGUCGAUGACGGUACCGGAAGAAUAAGGACCGGCUAACUACGUGCCAGCAGCCGCCGUAA
rnacentral:rRNA from 1 species